CCCGCACAAGCAGCGGAGCAUGUGGUUUAAUUCGAAGCAACGCGAAGAACCUUACCAAGACUUGACAUCCCCUGACAGCUGUUGAAAGGCAGUGUCUCUUCGGAGCAGGGAGACAGGUGGUGCAUGGUUGUCGUCAGCUCGUGUCGUGAGAUGUUGGGUUAAGUCCCGCAACGAGCGCAACCCUUAUCCUUAGUUACCAGCACGUAAAGGUGGGGACUCUAGGGAGACCGCCGGGGACGACUCGGAGGAAGGUGGGGACGACGUCAAAUCAUCAUGCCCCUUAUGUCUUGGGCUACACACGUGCUACAAUGGCCGCAACAGAGGGAAGCGAGAGCGCAAGCUGGAGCAAAACCCUAAAAAGCGGUCCCAGUUCGGAUUGUGGGCUGCAACCCGCCCACAUGAAGUCGGAGUUGCUAGUAAUCGCGAAUCAGCAUGUCGCGGUGAAUGCGUUCCCGGGCCUU
rnacentral:rRNA from 1 species